rnacentral:rRNA from 1 species
GUGUGUACUAACGUAUGUUUUUCUUAGGCGAUAACGAGCGAGACCUCUGCCUAUUAAAUAGAGACAUCGAUUUCUGUAUCGGUGCGCUCUUCUUAAAGGGACUACGCGAAUUAAUCGCGAGGAAGUUGGAGGCUAAAACA